rnacentral:rRNA from 1 species
CCUACGGGAGGCAGCAGUGAGGAAUAUUGGUCAAUGGGCGCGAGCCUGAACCAGCCAAGUCGCGUGAGGGAGGACGGCCCUACGGGGUGUAAACCUCUUUUGCCGGGGAGCAAAGGGCGUCCCGUGUGCCGCCACUGAGAGUCCCCGGAGAAAAAGCAUCGGCCAACUCUGUGCCAGCCGCCGCGGUAAUACGGGGGAUGAGAGUGUGCUCCGGUUUUAUUGGGUUAAAGGGGUGCGUAGGCGGCUCGUUAGGUCAGUGGUCAAAUUGCGGGGCUCAACCCCUUCCCGCCUUUGAAACUGGCAGCGUUGAGUGCAGAUGACGUCUGAGGAAUGUGUGGUGUAGCGGUGAAAUGCAUAGAUAUCACGCAGAACCCCGAUUGCGAAGGCAGCUGACCAA